UGGGGAAUAUUGCACAAUGGGCGCAAGCCUGAUGCAGCCAUGCCGCGUGUAUGAAGAAGGCCUUCGGGUUGUAAAGUACUUUCAGCGGGGAGGAAGGCGAUAAGGUUAAUAACCUUGUCGAUUGACGUUACCCGCAGAAGAAGCACCGGCUAACUCCGUGCCAGCAGCCGCGGUAAUACGGAGGGUGCAAGCGUUAAUCGGAAUUACUGGGCGUAAAGCGCACGCAGGCGGUCUGUCAAGUCGGAUGUGAAAUCCCCGGGCUCAACCUGGGAACUGCAUUCGAAACUGGCAGGCUAGAGUCUUGUAGAGGGGGGUAGAAUUCCAGGUGUAGCGGUGAAAUGCGUAGAGAUCUGGAGGAAUACCGGUUGCGAAGUCGGCCCCCUGGACAAAGACUGACGCUCAGGUGCGAAAGCGUGGGGAGCAAACA
rnacentral:rRNA from 1 species